rfam:Pseudomonas pseudoalcaligenes KF707 = NBRC 110670 strain KF707 ctg10006, whole genome shotgun sequence.
ACAAGUGUAGGGUGGAGAUGCACAACCGUCGGACUGCGUAGUGUCAAGACGCUUCAUUUCGUCCGCUGCCGACCGUUGAUUCCUCCUCCUGACCAAGUGCUUCUGUCACGACACAGCAAGCAGGAGAUGUAGUCGCGAUUCCGACCCCAUUGGUCGGUAUUCGCUGGACACAGGGUCGGUUCGCCAACCCUGCACGCACCUGACACCGACCGUGAGAGUCGUGUGCGCCAAUCGCCGUUUCCGGCAGCCCGGAAACCCA